GACGAACGCUGGCGGCGUGCUUAACACAUGCAAGUCGAACGGAAAGGCCCUGCUUGCAGGGUACUCGAGUGGCGAACGGGUGAGUAACACGUGGGUGAUCUGCCCUGCACUUCGGGAUAAGCCUGGGAAACUGGGUCUAAUACCGGAUAGGAGCCAUAUUUAGUGUGAUGGUUGGAAAGUUUUUUCGGUGUUGGAUGAGCUCGCGGCCUAUCUGCUUGUUGGUGGGGUAAUGGGCUACCAAGGCGGCGACGGGUAGCCGGCCUGAGAGGGUGGACGGCCACAGUGGGACUGAGAUACGGCCCAGACGCCUACGGGUGGGAGCAGUGGGGAAUAUUGCACAAGGGGCGCAAGCCGGAUGCAGCGACGCCGCGUGUGGGAUGACGGCCUUCGGGUUGAAAACUCCUUUCGCUAGGGACAAAGCUUUUUGUGACGGUACCUAGAUAAGAAGCACCGGCUAACUACGUG
rnacentral:rRNA from 1 species